UACGUAGGGUGCGAGCGUUAAUCGGAAUUACUGGGCGUAAAGCGUGCGUAGACGGUUAUGUAAGUCAGAUGUGAAAGCCCCGGGCUUAACCUGGGAAUGGCAUUCGAGACUGCGAAGCUAGGGUGCGGAAGAGGGAAGCGGAAUUUCUGGUGUAGCGGUGAAAUGCGUAGAUAUCAGAAGGAACAUCAGUGGCGAAAGCGGCUUCCUGGUCCAGCGCCGACGUUCAGGCACGAAAGCGUGGGGAGCAAACAGG
rnacentral:rRNA from 1 species